rnacentral:rRNA from 1 species
UACAGAGGGUGCAAGCGUUAAUCGGAAUUACUGGGCGUAAAGCGUGCGCAGACGGUUGCGUAAGUCAGAUGUGAAAGCCCCGGGCUCAACCUGGGAAUUGCAUUUGAGACUGCGUAGCUAGGGUGCGGAAGAGGGAAGCGGAAUUUCCGGUGUAGCGGUGAAAUGCGUAGAUAUCGGAAGGAACACCAGUGGCGAAAGCGGCCUCCUGGUCCAGCACCGACGUCAGGCACGAAAGCGUGGGGAGCAAACAGG